rnacentral:lncRNA from 1 species
AUGUUGAAUAACCUGUGGACUCUGUUGAGUAACAACCUGUGGACUCUGUUGAGUAACAACCUGUGGGCUCUGUUGAAUAACCUGUGGACUCUGUUGAGUAACAACCUGUGGACUCUGUUGAAUAACCUGUGGACUCUGUUGAGUAACAACCUGUGGGUUCUGUUGAGUAACAACCUGUGGGCUCUGUUGAGUACCAACCUAUGGACUCUGUUGAAUAACCUGUGGACUCUGUUGAGUAACAACCUGUGGACUCUGUUGAAAAACCUGUGGACUCUGUUGAGUAACAACCUGUGGGCUCUGUUGAGUAACAACCUGUGGGCUCUGUUGAGUAACAACCUGUGGACUCUGUUGAGUAACAACCUGUGGGCUCUGUUGAGUAACAACCUGUGGACUUUGUUGAGUAACAACCUAUGGACUCUGUUGAGUAACAACCUGUGGACUCUGUUGAGUAACAACCUGUGGGCUCUGUUGAGUAACAACCUGUGGACUCUGUUGAAUAACCUGUGGACUCUGUUGAAUAACAACCUGUGGACUCUGUUGAGUAACAACCUGUGGGCUCUGUUGAGUAACAACCUGUGGGCUCUGGUGAGUACCAACCUGUGGACUAUGUUGAAUAACCUGUGGACUCUGUUGAGUAACAACCUGUGGACUCUGUUGAAUAACCUGUGGACUCUGUUGAGUAACAACCUGUGGGUUCUGUUGAGUAACAACCUGUGGGCUCUGUUGAGUACCAACCUAUGGACUCUGUUGAAUAACCUGUGGACUCUGUUGAGUAACAACCUGUGGACUCUGUUGAGUAACAACCUGUGGGCUCUGUUGAGUAACAACCUGUGGACUCUGUUGAGUAACCUGUGGACUCUGUUGAGUAACAACCUAUGGACUCUGUUGAGUAACAACCUGUGGACUCUGUUGAGUAACAACCUGUGGGCUCUGUUGAGUAACAACCUGUGGACUCUGUUGAGUAACAACCUGUGGACUCUGUUGAGUAACAACCUGUGGGCUCUGUUGAGUAACAUGUUGGAUUGGACAGUUACACAUGCACACAAUAGAGUUACACAAAAACAGACACAUAUGCACACACACACGCACGCACACGCACACACACACACACACACACACGCACGCACACACACAUACACACACACUACAUACACACAUGCAGAUGCACACACACACGGAUAUGAGAGAACUGGAUAUUCUGCUUUUUUGAUUAAUGCCUGUUUUUGA